GCAAGUCGAGCGCUUCCCUUCGGGGAGGAGCGGCGGACGGGUUAGUAACGCGUGGGAAUAUACCCUUCACUAUGGAAUAGCCUCGGGAAACUGAGAGUAAUACCAUAUACGCCCUUCGGGGGAAAGAUUUAUCGGUGAAGGAUUAGCCCGCGUUAGAUUAGAUAGUUGGUGGGGUAAUGGCCUACCAAGUCUACGACGUAUAGCCGGUUUGAGAGGAUGAUC
rnacentral:rRNA from 1 species